GUGAGGGUUUAAUAGUCGAACAGACCACCAAAGUUUAUUCCUGCUUAAACUGGGCCCCUCAAUUCAACAUCGAGGUCACAGUCUCUUUCUUCCAUAAGUGCUGUAGGAAAAAAUUGUGCUGUUAUCCCCAAAGUAACUUGUUCUACAUCUUUUAACGAUCUCGAUUAACGCGCAUAUACGUUACGAUUAUCUAAAGUUCAAUUAAUCGCCGCCCCAGCCCAAUAAAUAAUGUCAAUUCUACAAUUCAAAAUUAGAAAAUAAUUAAAAAUAAAGUUUUACGGGGUCUUCUCGUCUUCUCAGAAAGCUGCACUUUUUGAUGCAGAUAUCAAUUUCCACCUAUCCUGCUCAAAUAGUCCAGGUAUCAUCAACUCUUUUAUUCCGGCUCCCAAUUAAGGAACUAAUGAUUUUGCUACCUUAGCACAGUCAAAAAUACUGCAGCUAUUUAUAAAUCAUGGAGCAGAGCCUACUUCUAAAAUUAGAAGAG
rnacentral:rRNA from 1 species